rnacentral:rRNA from 1 species
AAACGUCUCAGUUCGGACUGUGGUCUGCAACCCGACCACACGAAGCUGGAAUCGCUAGUAAUCGCGAAUCAGAAUGUCGCGGUGAAUACGUUCCCGGGUCUUGUACACACCGCCCGUCACACCAUGGGGAGUCAGCAACGCCCGAAGUCAGUGACCUAACCGAAAGGGAGGAGCUGCCGAAGGCGGGGCCGGUAACUGGGGUGAAGUCGUAACAAGGUACC